rfam:Triticum aestivum genome assembly, contig: Triticum_aestivum_CS42_TGACv1_scaffold_050051_1BS
GGAUGCGAUCAUACCAGCGCUAAAGCAACAGAUCCCAUCGGAAGUCUGAAGUUAAGUGUGCUUGGGCGAGAGUAGUACUAGGAUGGGUGACCUCCUGGGAGUCCUCAUGAUGCAUUCC